rnacentral:rRNA from 1 species
AGAGUUUGAUCCUGGCUCAGAUUGAACGCUGGCGGCAGGCCUAACACAUGCAAGUCGAGCGGUAGCACAGAGAGCUUGCUCUCGGGUGACGAGCGGCGGACGGGUGAGUAAUGUCUGGGAAACUGCCUGAUGGAGGGGGAUAACUACUGGAAACGGUAGCUAAUACCGCAUAACGUCGCAAGACCAAAGUGGGGGACCUUCGGGCCUCAUGCCAUCAGAUGUGCCCAGAUGGGAUUAGCUAGUAGGUGGGGUAAUGGCUCACCUAGGCGACGAUCCCUAGCUGGUCUGGGAGGAUGACCAGCCACACUGGAACUGAGACACGGUCCAGACUCCUACGGGAGGCAGCAGUGGGGAAUAUUGCACAAUGGGCGCAAGCCUGAUGCAGCCAUGCCGCGUGUGUGAAGAAGGCCUUCGGGUUGUAAAGCACUUUCAGCGGGGAGGAAGGCGAUAAGGUUAAUAACCUUGUCGAUUGACGUUACCCGCAGAAGAAGCACCGGCUAACUCCGUGCCAGCAGCCGCGGUAAUACGGAGGGUGCAAGCGUUAAUCGGAAUUACUGGGCGUAAAGCGCACGCAGGCGGUCUGUCAAGUCGGAUGUGAAAUCCCCGGGCUUAACCUGGGAACUGCAUUCGAAACUGGCAGGCUAGAGUCUUGUAGAGGGGGGUAGAAUUCCAGGUGUAGCGGUGAAAUGCGUAGAGAUCUGGAGGAAUACCGGUGGCGAAGGCGGCCCCCUGGACAAAGACUGACGCUCAGGUGCGAAAGCGUGGGGAGCAAACAGGAUUAGAUACCCUGGUAGUCCACGCCGUAAACGAUGUCGAUUUGGAGGUUGUGCCCUUGAGGCGUGGCUUCCGGAGCUAACGCGUUAAAUCGACCGCCUGGGGAGUACGGCCGCAAGGUUAAAACUCAAAUGAAUUGACGGGGGCCCGCACAAGCGGUGGAGCAUGUGGUUUAAUUCGAUGCAACGCGAAGAACCUUACCUGGUCUUGACAUCCACAGAACUUUCCAGAGAUGGAUUGGUGCCUUCGGGAACUGUGAGACAGGUGCUGCAUGGCUGUCGUCAGCUCGUGUUGUGAAAUGUUGGGUUAAGUCCCGCAACGAGCGCAACCCUUAUCCUUUGUUGCCAGCGGUCCGGCCGGGAACUCAAAGGAGACUGCCAGUGAUAAACUGGAGGAAGGUGGGGAUGACGUCAAGUCAUCAUGGCCCUUACGACCAGGGCUACACACGUGCUACAAUGGCAUAUACAAAGAGAAGCGACCUCGCGAGAGCAAGCGGACCUCAUAAAGUAUGUCGUAGUCCGGAUUGGAGUCUGCAACUCGACUCCAUGAAGUCGGAAUCGCUAGUAAUCGUAGAUCAGAAUGCUACGGUGAAUACGUUCCCGGGCCUUGUACACACCGCCCGUCACACCAUGGGAGUGGGUUGCAA